rnacentral:rRNA from 1 species
AACUGCUUGGGAACUGAUAGUCUAGAGUGAGGGAGAGGCAGAUGGAAUUGGUGGUGUAGGGGUAAAAUCCGUAGAUAUCACCAAGAAUACCCAUUGCGAAGGCGAUCUGCUGGAACUCAACUGACGCUAAGGCGCGAAAGCGUGGGGAGCAAACAGGAUUAGAUACCCUGGUAGUCCACGCCCUAAACGAUGUACACUAGUUGUUGGGGUGCUAGUCAUCUCAGUAAUGCAGCUAACGCAUUAAGUGUACCGCCUGGGGAGUACGGUCGCAAGAUUAAAACUCAAAGGAAUAGACGGGGACCCGCACAAGCGGUGGAGCAUGUGGUUUAAUUCGAAGAUACGCGAAGAACCUUACCUGGGCUUGAUAUCCUAAGAACCUUUUAGAGAUAAGAGGGUGCUAGCUUGCUAGAACUUAGAGACAGGUGCUGCACGGCUGUCGUCAGCUCGUGUCGUGAGAUGUUGGGUUAAGUCCCGCAACGAGCGCAACCCACGUAUUUAGUUGCUAACGGUUCGGCCGAGCACUCUAAAUAGACUGCCUUCGUAAGGAGGAGGAAGGUGUGGACGACGUCAAGUCAUCAUGGCCCUUAUGCCCAGGGCGACACACGUGCUACAAUGGCAUAUACAAUGAGACGCAAUACCGCGAGGUGGAGCAAAUCUAUAAAAUAUGUCCCAGUUCGGAUUGUUCUCUGCAACUCGAGAGCAUGAAGCCGGAAUCGCUAGUAAUCGUAGAUCAGCCAUGCUACGGUGAAUACGUUCCCGGGUCUUGUACUCACCGCCCGUCACACCAUGGGAGUUGAUUUCACUCGAAGCCGGGAAU